UGGAAGAUAUUUAGAUAGGACAAGGCAGGCUACAUGCAUCAAGUAUAUUAAUUAGAGACAUAACUGCCAUUCCUCAAAUUAAUAAAAUAAUAUUCAUAAUGCAGUACAUAUAGAGCCACUACAUUUGUUCAAGGGAAAUUUGACAACAAAAG